GCAUAGGGCCUGGUGCAGCGGUAGAGCCUACCGUCUGUAACCGGAAGGUCCCGGGUUCGAGCCCCAGCCUCUGCA
rnacentral:tRNA from 7 species